rnacentral:rRNA from 1 species
GACAGAGGGGGCAAGCGUUGCUCGGAAUUACUGGGCGUAAAGGGCGCGUAGGCGGUGUGUCAAGUCAGGCGUGAAAGCCCCGGGCUCAACCUGGGAACCGCGCUUGAGACUGGCACGCUCGAGUUCGGGAGAGGAUGGUGGAAUUCCCAGUGUAGAGGUGAAAUUCGUAGAUAUUGGGAAGAACACCGAUGGCGAAGGCAGCCAUCUGGACCGACACUGACGCUGAGGCGCGAAAGCGUGGGGAGCAAACAGG